AAAUCCCACUUCUACUAGUAGAAAUGGGAACAAAAGGGAAGAUGUCUUCAAAGGCCACCCUUCUAAUCUCUUUUGCAGUAGUUAUUGUUUCUUUAUGUUUGCCCUCAUUGACCACCGCAGCCUACCCUUACUCAUCUCCACCACCUCCUCAACCAAAGAAAUCACCACCACCACCACCUAAGCAUCAUUAUAUUUACAAAUCACCACCACCACCACCACCACCGGUCUAUAAGUCACCACCACCACCGGUGUAUAAAUCAUCACCACCACCACCUGUUUACAAGUCACCGCCACCUCCUACUCCGGUUUAUAAGUCCCCACCACCUCCAAAGAAACCAUAUGUAUACAAAUCACCACCACCACCACCUCCGGUUCACAAGUCUCCACCACCACCGGUUUACAAGUCACCACCACCUCCUGCUUACAAGUCACCACCGCCACCGGUACAUAAAUCACCGCCGCCACCUGUUUACAAGUCACCACCACCACCUGUUUACAAGUCACCACCUCCACCUCAUUACGUCUACAAGUCACCACCACCACCGGUCUACAAGUCACCACCACCACCCGUGCAUAAGUCACCGCCACCACCAGUCUACAAAUCCCCACCGCCACCGGUUCACAAAUCACCGCCGCCACCGGUCUACAAGUCACCACCACCACCAGUUCAUAAGUCACCACCUCCACCCGUUUACAAGUCACCACCACGUCCACUUCACAAGUCUCCACCACCACCGAAGAAACACUACAUCUAUAAAUCACCACCGCCACCUCCUCCGAUUUAUAAGUCUCCACCCCCACCACCACCAAAAAAACCAUACGUAUACAAAUCUCCACCACCACCAACCCAUGUCCACAAAUCUCCACCACCACCAACCCCUGUGUAUAAAUCCCCACCACCUCCUCCAACUCCGGUGAAAAAGCACCCACCCCCACAUUAUAUCUACAGUUCACCACCUCCUCCUCACCAUUAAGAAGUGACCACUGUUUUUAAUUAAGGAUAGUAACAAGUUAAUAUUCUGUGAAGACAAACAAUAAUCGAGCAGGACAAGAAGGGUUGAAAGUUGUACGGAAAUGACUUGUACUUUGAUUCAUGUUUUCAAUAAAUAGUUGCGUUUUUUUCUUUUGUGUUUGGGUUUGAUAAUAAAGGUAUCAAUAAAAAAAAUUGUUGUUUUACAUCCUUUAUUAUCGNNNNNNNNNNNNNNNNNNNNNNNNNNNNNNNNNNNNNNNNNNNNNNNNAGGCAAGUACUAACACUCCAUUUUUCUACAAACACCUAAUAUCAAUAUCGAUGGGCUACAUGUUUUAAUAUAAAUUUGUUAAUCAUUGUAAACUUAAAAAAUUUCAUUUAACAAAAAAUGUUAUAAAAUAUUCAAAACUUUGAUUAGCCAUAUUUGUAUAUUUGCAUUCAACUAAUUAUAUGUUAGCUUGUUAAGCAUGCACAUUUAUAUUAUUAAUUAAAUGACUUAGAAUCCCUUUACGUUCCAGUUUUUAUUUCAUCUUUAACCUUUUAAAAAUAAGUCUGUCGAUAAUCCGGAAAACAAUACAUUUUUUCAGCACCAAAUUGUAAUAAUCUUUAUAACCGGUCGCUAACUCGUCUAUAGAAAAUUUACUAAUAUUUUUGGGGAUCAAAAGGUUUCACUGAAAUUACAGUCUAAAGCUGAUAUUUGAAAAUUAACGGCGGAUUAUUAAAAAAAUUAUUAAAAUAACAACAUAAGUGAACAAACUUUAAAAGAUUUCUGAUUGUUUCGAUUGGAUAUUCAUAUAAGUGCUUGAUUGCUUCAUUAAUACAUUUAAUAUUUAUGUUUAAUUAUGUUAUGUGUUUCACAACUCAUCAUAGUUUUGUUAGAUCCUUGUACAUUCACACACAAAUACUCUAUAGUUUUGUAUCGAAUGGUGGAGUUUUGAUUGUAUACACAUGUAAUAUGUUUAGAAUAUGUAUAAAUUGGUAAAAUAAAGUAAGAACUUAAAUUUUUAAUUUAUACGAAAAGAUGAAACAAAACAAAUAAUGUUUAAAUAUAAAAAACAUUAAAGAUACGAAAGUUUAUGGCUAUUUUUGAUGAAUUUGAAGGAUUAGCGAUGGAUGCAUCAAAACUAUAAAUUUCGUCGCUAAAUUCAUCAAAAUCAGCGACAGCUUAGCCACCGCCCUUAAUGAUUUUUCUAGAUUUUUUUUUUGGAAAGCAAAAUAUGAUAAAACGAACAAAACCUCUGAAUUAUCAAGAAGUUCAAACGCAGGCAAACAACAAAACAAGAUAAGUGUAAGAAGGGCGAAAUACUCCAAUCUACCCAUCUUCCAACACAUAGUCUACUUCUAAAAUUACACCAUACAUAUGAGAGAGAAAUAACCUUAUCAACGAUUAUGGUGGGGAAGAACUAAUAUUUUUAAACACCUUGUUGUUUCUCGUGGCCCAAAUACUCUAUAGUAAGCAGUAGAAGAUCACAGUAAUUAUCUUCAUUUUCCUAGGACAAUUGCCCCGGUUUGUAGCAUAAUCAACAAAUUUAGACACGUCACAGAACUGUCGAGACGGAAUACAGCACCACUUAAGAACCCAAUCUCUAGCAAUAACGACAGUAUGACAAUUGAUAAGCACAUGAUUCACCGUUUUAGUUUCGCCCAAACAUAGAUGACAAGAAAGAGAUUUAACCAUUAUACCCCUAUUAAGUAACGUAUCAACAACUAGAAUUCUACCCAACAUAACCUUCAAAAUGAAGCAUCAAACAUUCUGAAUGGGGUAAUUUUUUACCAGCAUCUUGAGUGUCCAACUGAAUGGUGAAGCUUGGAGUCAAUACAUUUUCUCAUAAUCCCAACAGUGAAUUGACCAUCAGCAGCAGCAAGAUUGAAAUUAAAACCAAUAAGGAAAUAUUGAAGGCAACAUCACUAAGAAGGGAGUAGAGACAGUCCAAUUCCAUUAUUGCCUCGAUUUAAUUGGGAGCUUUUUUCCAGUUCCAGAAAUAGAGUCGUUCCCUUGGUACUUAUGAGAGAAUAAGCAACAUUUUAUAGUUUCAAGUUCGUAUAAGCGUGUGAAUUUGUAUUGUAAUGUAUAAGGUCCAAUCCACAUGUCUUUCCAAAACAUAAAAUCCACAUCAGAGCCUGAGGUGAGAGAGAAUAAAUCAAAUAAAUCAAUGCCCAACAAAGGAAGGUUGUUUAUGGCCUUUGAUAUUGUAAGAUCCCGACUCCCAAGUAUAAAUUUUAAAAGCUUUGUAUUCAUUUUAUUGAGGGAACACGACGAGUUGGAGGCCCCAACUCGUCGUGUCGAACCUAGUCAGCCCGCGUGGUUUAUGCCUUCUACUCGACAAGUUGGAGGACACCAACUCGACGAGUAGAGGUUGUGCAUGAUAACCCUAAUUUUUUGGGUUUGCACCCUAUUUAAAGGGCCUUAAGUCCUUUCCUCUAGCCUCCUUACAACCUUUUGACGACCAUAAGCAACCCUAAUCGAUCUUAACCCUAUCCUUAAGUGUGUGAGAGGCUAAAAUUGUGUUUCCGGUGCAUUUGUUGAAGAAGCUUGAAGAUUAAGAAGCUUGGAACGAGGGAAAGCUUGUAGAUCUAGUAUCUACAUCGUGUUGGCAUCCAGUAGAAGGUAAAAAGUCUUUACCCUGGCCUUCCAUUUCUUAGAUCUCUUCUUAUGUUGAAUAUGGGCAUUUUGGUGCAAAAUGGAGUCACUUUUGGAUUUGAGCUUGUACCAAGGGCAUGGUUUCAGAUCUGGACUCCUCUAGGCCCUUAUGGACAUAAAGCCUCAAGCUUUAUGAAGCUUUGGCCCUCCUUCAUGUCCAAAACCUUCUUCUAAGGCUAGUUAUGAGUGUUUUACCCUCAUGGAGCCUUGAAUACACGUAAAGUUAGCAACUUUAUGUGAUAGCAACACCCUAGGAGCCUAGAUCUACAGUUUGGUGUUUUGAUAUCACUUAAAAGCAUCUGAAUGAGAAAUAGACUGAAGGAACUCGACGAGUUGCAUAGUCAACUCGACAAGUUGAAAGAAGGUUUCCUGCCUUCUGGAUUCUGCAUGAACUCGGCGAGUUGGAGGGGCAACUCUACGAGUUGGUUAGGGUUUUCCCGACAUUUUUGGACAAUACAUGGACUCGACGAGUUGUCUGGAAACUCGGCGGGUCAAUUGGGGUUUUCGCGAUUUCUUGAGUUCUGAAGGAACUUGACGAGUCAGUGAGCUACACUCGACGAGUUGGGUCAACAUGGACUGUUGACCUUGACCGUUGACUUUGACUUUGACCAAGGGUUGACCGGUUUGACUUUUUGGGGUAUUUUAGUAAUUUGGAAAAUUUAUGGAAGUGGAUCAUUUGUGGAUGUAGGUGUUUGAGUUUGGAAAUGUAUUUAGGAAGUUUGACAUUAUCAUUAUGAGCUACUUGUGAGGUGAGUUGUCCUCACUAUACUAAUAGGGUCGAAGGCACCAAUACCGACCCUUCUUUUGGAUUGUUAUCCUGGUUAUUGCAUGAUGAUAUGCUUAGUGACCUGUUAGGUUGGUACCCUGGUAUAUAGGAUGAUGCUAUGUUAUUAACCGAUUAGGUCGGUAUCCUGGUAUAUAGGAUAAUGUUAUGUUAGUGAUCUGUUAGAUCUAUAUAACUAUCUAUCUGUACAUGCUAGCUAGUGUAUGAUAUUUAUGUGCACAUGAUUGUUUGAUUAGGGGUUGGGAUGAGGCGUUCAUGCUUUGUGCUUGCGCCAACAUACCCAGGGCGGACCGGAUAGACUGUAGACCUGGUUAAGGCAUAGUAGUUAGGCCGAGGGCCUGACGACGGUCCGGAUAGGCUAAUGGCCCUAAGAGGCGGUUCAAACGUGCCGAUGGCUCGGAGAGUGGUCCAGAUAAACUAAUGGCCCUGCGAGGCGGUCCAGUCAGGCUAAUGGCUCAUUAUACAUGCUGUUUUUUAUGAUAUGGUUAUAUUUGUAUGACGUUGGUAUUUUGGGGGAAACUACUAAGCUUCGGGCUUACAGUUGUUGAUUAUGUGUCAAGUACUUCUGAUGAUCACGGGAAGGCAAAGUCGUGAUCGUGCACCUCCUUAUAUUUUUAUGAUAUGAUUCUGGGAUACUCUGACAUGAAACCAUUUUGAAAACAAAUUUGUAAUAAUUAUUGGUUUUUGAAUGAUUUAAAAAGUUUUAAAUUGGCAUAUUUUUUAGGGUGUUACAGAUAUCUCACACCAUACGCUACACCAGGGCUGUUUUUUUAGAUGUGUAUGACACUGGUUUCCUACUUAGGUUGUGAAUUCAGUAAAUUACAUUCCCCCAUAGGUUGUUUGGCUCCAUUUUCAAUCUCCGUCACCACUUAGUGAGUAAAGCAAGGUUUUGUGCUUUUAAUGACCCAACACCUAAACCGCUGCUUUCUUUGGAAGCCACUACUUUGCGCCACACAACCCAAUGAAUCUUAGAUUUAUUUUCUUCACCUCCCCAUAAGAAUUUCUCUUAAUCUUCUUGAGGGUAUCGAUACUCUCGAUUAGGUCUUUAAAAAGCAAGAAAUAAUAUCUCGGUAAGUUGUAGAGAGCCGACUUGAUUAAUGUAAGUCGACCACCAAAUGAUAGAGUUUUGGCUUUCCAAAUGGACAAUUUAUUGUUGAAUCUAUCAAUUACAGACUUCCAAUAUUUUUUCCACAUCAUCUUUGCUCCCAUGGGUACACCUAAAUAAAUGAAAGGAAGGGAUCCAUUUAAAUAUACCAUCAAUCUUGCUCUCCUGUUAAGUUCUAAAUCGAGGUUUCCGAUACCAAAAGGUCUAGACUUAUGGAAAUUGACUUUUAAACCAGGUGAUACUUCAAAACAUUUCAGAAUACGGGAUAGAAUGCACAUGCUACAACUUUACCAUUCUCCCACGAAAAUUGCAUCGUCAACAUAAAAGAGGUGAGAAAUGGUAGGUCCCGAGUUUGGAAGAUUGAUAUCAUGGUAAUGGGAUUUAUUACAUGUACUUUUUAGUGCCACAUUCUGUAGCACCUGGUUCUUAGUAUGUAUUCUGUUAUUAAAUCUUCAUUUAUUUUUGCAUUUUUAGCCUUGGACUCGGUGAGUCGAAGGACUGACUCGCCUAGUAGAAGCGGGAUGAGGCGUGGGGUUUAAGUUGCGGACUUGGCGAGUAGCCGUUGUUUGGACAAAAACCCUAAGGGGUUUACACCCUAUUUAAACGACCUUAUGCAGCCUCCUCUCCCCCUUUAUGCUCCCAAACACUCCUCAUAGCAAACCCUAGCCGUUUUUGUGAAGAUCUAAGGCUUUUUGAAUGAUUCUUGUGAAUUUUGAUCUCAAGGAAGAAGGAAGAGCAUAGAAGGAUCAAGAGGGGACUGAAGGAUUCGAGUUUGGUUUAUCAUUUGCAGUCUUUGGAAGGUAUAAAGUCUUAACCUUGCUCAUUCAUUUAUUAGAUCCCUCUUUGGGGUGAAUUAGGGCUUUUAUAAGCCAUUUUUGGUGGCCAACCAUGUUUGCAAACAUGGUUGGGGGUUUAGGCUUCUGUAUAAUGUCAUUUUAUGAGCUACAAGUUAGAUCUAGGUUGCUUUUUGCACCAAGGAAGACCACAUGCAACAAAAGAGCUAUUUUAGAGCCUUUUAAGCUCUAAUGUCCCAUGCAUGCACGUAAAGUUUGUAACUGUACGUGCUAGAUCGAGUUUAGGGGCCUGGAUCUAUCAUUUGGUUAAGUGUUGUACAUCAGAAAUCGAAGUUCUUAAUAAGGAAUGUGGUAGACUCGGCGAGUCCAAGGGUUUUGGUCCCAUAUCAGUGAGUGUCAUAAGGACCAGUUGAGUUUGGAAGGGUUUUAGGAGUCCCGGGGAGUGACCUAACGUUCUGGACUAAGCAAAGUGUUCUGGGAAUUCAUGGUACUCGGCGAGUGCAUGAACAGACUAGGCAAGUCCAAGACAAUCUUCAUGGAACUCGACGAGUUGUUCAUCAACUCGGCGAGUCGACGACAGAAGGUGUUCAUAGGAUGAAGAGUAACUCGACGAGUUGUUCAUACAACUCGGCGAGUCGGAUGUGGAUUCAGUCGGUGUUCAUUUAGAAGGAAAACUCGUCGAGUCAUCGCCUAACUCGACGAGUAGAGACGGGUAUGAGGUCUGAUGGAAGGAUAGGGACUCGGCGAGUUGGUGAGUCAACUCGGCGAGUCAGGUCAACUGGAAGUUGACUUUGACUUUGACUUGGUCGAGGGGUAACAUGGUCAUUUUACCCUAAGGGUAGAUGUCAGUUUCUGACUAAGUGUUUUGUGGGAAUUAUAGCUGGAGGAUUUCCGGAGUAGCAGCGGCAGCAAUUAGAGGAUUCCCGCACAGUUCAGCAGCUACGAGGUGAGUUACUUUCCAGUAGGGGUGGGUCUAAAGCCACAAUGCCAGCCCACCAUUGAGUAUUUAGAAGAUAAUUGUCUUUGUGAUAAUUUAUCUUGGUCUGGUAUGCGUUGGUUAUGAGUUAUAUCUGCAUGAUAUGUUGCAUGAUAGGGAUAGUUUCCCUGAUAGUGGUCCUUAGGACCAAGGGGUAGGUCAGUACCCGGAUAUGUCUGAAUGUGUGCUUAUAUCUUGCUAUUAUAUGCUAGUGGUAGGGGUGGAAUAGUCCCCAGUUACCGGUUGAAAGAUACCGAUGAUGAUUACCGGUUGAAAUAUACCGAUGACGAUUAUCGGUUGAAAGAUACCGAUGGUAUUGUAUGGUAUGUGGUAUGAUGGGGGAACUCACUAAGCUUUGUGCUUAUGGUUUCAGUUUUUGGUUUCAGGUACCUCUUCAUCCAAGGGGAAGGAGUUGGUGGCGUAGCAUGGCAUCACACACACUCACAUAUGAUUUCCGCCCGGUGUUUUCUGGGAUUGUACUCUGAUAUGACAUUUGUUCAUGGUUGUGGGAUUCAAAUAUGAUACUUGGUUUUGAGAUGAUGUGUUUAUACAAUAUUUUCUAAUGAAUGUUUUAUGAAUUAACUAAUCAAAAAUGAAAUUUUUGGACUUGAAUUUUAGGACGUUACACAUUCAACCCUUCCAUGACUAUAAUAUAUAGGAAUAGAGAUAAAGGGUCGCCUUGACGAACACCUCUAGUAAUAUCUUUCGUUGGCGAACCAUUAACAAGGACGAGGCUUGAAAGAAUAAGAGACAUUGAACAUCCAAGAUCUCCACUUUGCACUAAAACCCAUUUGCUCCAUGGUUGAAUCAACAAAUUUCUAGUUUACCUAGUCAAAUGCUUUUUUCGAAGUCGAAUUUAAAUAAAAAUAUCUUCUUUUAAAUCUUCCUAGCCUAAGAACAAACUUCAUUUAUGAUUAGAAGACCAUCAAGAAUAUUUCUUCCUUUAAUGUAGGCCGAUUGAACCUGAUCAUCAAUUACCGAUCCAAUAAACCCUUUUAGUCUGAUAGCUAAAACCUUUUCCAUAAUUUUAUAAAUACUUCAAAUCUUGCUAAUUUGUCUAUAAUAUCCUAGCAAGAGGGUGUCUUUACAUUUUGGUAUAAGAUUGAUGAAAGAAGAAUUGCAUCCACACACUAUACACUCGAAUUCCUCAAAAUGCUUCAUGAAAUGGAAAACAUCAUACUUCAUAACAUCCCACAUGUUUUUGAAAAACUUGAAGGUGAAGUUGCCCAGACUUGGUGCCUUAUCACCUCCACAUCUCCAAACAACAUCUUUAAUUUCAUCAAUAGAGAAACAAGUAUCCGUAUAAGCCAUUUAAACCAAGGAGAUUUAUUUAAAUAGGGGACUAACAAGUUUCCAUCUAUUUGGCCAUUUUCCAUGGAACUUGGCACUGAAUAAGUCAAAAACUUCCUUCAUGAUUCUUUUGGGAUCAGUAGACCAUACCCCAUUUAUGAUGAUCACGUGAAUUCUAUUUUUACAAAUUUUAUUCUUCAACAUCCCAUGGAAAAACUGGUUCUUCUCAUCACCAUCUAUCACCCAUUUUAUCCAAGCCUUUUAAUGAGGAUCAAAUUUUUAAUUCUCCAAUUCAAGAAUUUUCAUUUUCCUUUUUUUAGUAACUUAAUAUGAGGAGAGUGUUUUAUGUUUUGUCGAUCUAUCUAGUGUAUCCACUUUUUUUUUCAAAUUCAUCAAAACACCUAUUUCACUAUUUUUUAUUUUAAUUCUCCAUUUUAUCAAAGUAUUCUUGAGAAAUCUGAGUUUUGCUGAGAGAAUCAUGUCUAAGGACCAUAUCAUGUAAAAGAGUUCCAAGCAUUUAGAAAUAAAAAAUCAAAAUCUUUCCUUAACAACCAUGAGUUAAAGAAACGAUCGAAAUGGAUAAGGUCCAAAGUUGGCAUAAGAUACUUUUAGAACAACCAAAGAGCGACCAAUGAAUUCAUGUGGCAUAGUAGUCAUGAAAGAAAUGGGUUGAAAUUUGAUGAAAUUUAAGCAAACCAAGAACCGAUCUACCUUUCUUAGCUUUAGACCAUCUACAGACAUAUAAGUAAAUUUUCUUCCCCAAAUGUUGGGAUCUUUUAGGCACGCAUUUGAGAUAAUAAAUUCAUUAAAUCUCAAUUCAUAUAGUAACAUAAAGCAGAAUUGAUUCUCUCCUCAAUGAAUCUUACAACAUUGAAGUCUCCAAAAAAAUAUCCAAUUUCCGUUGAUACUGGACUUUAAGUCAAUGAGUUCCUUCCAUAAUAUUAUUUUAUCAUUUAUAAACUAAGGACCAUAAUCAUAUACAAGGGUGGUGAUUCUUAUGGCUCCCUUCCAGAGAUCGGAUACAACUAAGAAAUAUCGAGAGCAUGUAUAGUGAAGCUUCAAGAACAAAUUAGAAGACAAAAUGAAAAUAAGACCACCUGAACUGCCAGUAGGGCUGAUAGUGUUGGAAAUCAGCUCCUUUCCCACCCCAUAAGGACCCCAAAACUUAUACCUGAUAACGAAUCUCAUGUAUUGCUCAAGGUUAUUUGGGUUUUCUCUAUGUUUAUAUUUACUUGCAAAUGGAAACUAUAUACACCCAUUAAAGAAAAAUCUUACAUUAUUUAUAGACUAAACUAUGGCACGUACUAAACAUGCAACUAUUUCCUCCUUAUUCUCCAUAAUACUAGGUCAAGUACAAGUCUCGACAACAUCCACUUUCUAUGUACUUAGUCCAACAUGGACUAUUUAACUGUGAUCCACACCACAAUUACUGGCUCAUGGAUUACCCACUAAUCUACAACUCAUCUGUGACCCAUAACCCAUCAAGAUUACCUAACAUUCACCUUGUAAUCUUGACCUGAGCGUCUUCGUCAUAGCAAAAUCAGUUUCUUCUUGCUUUCAUAUACCCAACCAUCAUUCUUUGAAACAUCUAUUUUCUGCUCUCUGGUUUGCUACUCUUUAUGCCCUUUUGACCACCUGAACUACGGUUACGGAAGUCAAGUCUCUACCACGUUCAGAAUUAGAUCCUACAUUCCCAUAUCAUGCACCAUUUACUUACCUUCUGCCACCACCAUCAUUCUGAAUUUGAAUCGGGGAUGAAGAACACCAAAAUUCAUUCCAAACAACCUUCUUCUACUUCGAGUUCUAAAAGAAAAAACAACUCGUUUCUUAAUCUCAUUGUUGCCUCUUUCAAUCUUCUUUCUUCUUGCUACCCUCUUUCUUGCUAUAUCGUUCUUGAUUCUUUCAUUUUGUUUCGUGUUUACUACUUGCUACAAACCCAAAACUUUCCAUGUGCUAUGAUUGUCUUGUCUGCUACUUGCUACAGAAUAUGCAACAACCUUCUUGCUUGUUACUUGCUACUUUUCAUACAGAAAAAUUCUGUUGCUUCUUUCUUUUGAUCACCAAACCUGAUCGGACUUGCUGCUUGCUUUCAUUGUUUCUUCUAAUCACCAAAUUAAUGUGAUCAGCCUUGUUGCUUGCUUUCAUUCUUGCUGCUUACUUUCUUCCUCUUAACCUGCUUGCUUGUUUUUUUCCUCAACAACUGCCCGCUAUCAUCUCCAGGAUCGAACCACCACAGUCAGACCUUCAUUUGUCAACACCACUAUGAGCCAUCAACUCCACAACAGAGUCGUAACAGACCACAACCAAGAACCACCCUAUUUUAAUCCUCCUUGUUGUGUUUCUUUCUUUUUGAAGUAAACAUCUGGUUUUCACAAAUUUCUUUCUUCGUUCUUUCUUUCUUCUUUCAUUCUUUCUUUUUUUUUUUUUUUUCUAAUUUGUUGUUGUGUAGUGGUCUUUAUUCCUUUCUACUCUAAAGUAGGUAUGAGCCUAGUGCUCUGAUACCAAAUGCUAGAAAUCAUCCCCUUUCCUACCCGAUAAAGACACCAAAACUUACACAUGAUAACGAUUCUUCUGUAUUUCUCAAGGUUAUUUGGGUUUUCUCUGUGUUUAUAUUUACUUGCAAAUUGUAACGGACCAAAAAUAAUGACAAAAAGUUUAUGUUUUUAGAUCUGAUUUCCUUGAGCUGGAAACCACGUAACGUUGCCAACUUUAUGUUUAUGCAUGUGUAAAUGAAGCUAUUAAGCUUAAAAGGGACUUAAUAAUAUUCUUAAUGCAUGCAUGACUCCAAAAAUAUCAUAAAGCUUGCACCUUUAUGCUCAAGUGGCCCAAAAACAAACUCAGAUCUGGAAUAACAAGUCCUUAAACAAUUUCACCCUCUUCUUAACCUAAAAAGGGACCUAGAGAACAACAAAGCACAAAAUGAAGAGAUCUAAACAUCUAUAAGUCAAGGUUCAAACUUGAUACCUUAGAAUGCUUGCACAAAAGAAGAUGAUUCUGGAUCCAAAGCCAAUCCACCAAGCAAGACAACUUCAAUAUCUCCUCUACGUUCACAAAGGCCAAAAAUGAGCACCAAGAACUUCUUACUAGCUCAAGAACACCACCAAGAGACUUAGGGAUCGAUUUUAGGGUUUUAAUGUCAAUGGAUGCUUGUAAGGAGACCAUCCUUUGGGGCUAAAAGAGAUUAUUGUUGGAUUAGGUGUCUAAAUUCAUAACUAUUUCUGGAAUGUACUUGACCCGAUUAGCAUGGUCCAUUUGGGUUGCAUGACAUUGCAACACUUGGAUAGACUAAAUGAGAGAAAUGACACUUAAGUUUUAGUAAUAUAUUAUAUGUUCUAAUAUAUUAAUAAUAUUAUUUAAUUAGUAUUGAUCAAGAAUUAAUUUAGAAUUAAUUUGGUGAUCAAAAGGAGACUAAUUAAAUAUAUGGGGUUGAUUGUGUAAAUCAUCCAUUCUUUUAUAGUGGGCUAAUGAUACAUGGUUUAUUGAAUUGGGCUAAAACCCAUAAGGUGAUCCAUGGAUAGUCCAUGGAGGUUAUAAACACAUGGAUCAUGGAAUAUGAAAAGCCAUGUCAAUUAGGGUUUACAUGAUGUAACCCUACUUGUGACACAACUAUAAAAGGACCACAUGGGCUACCAAAAUCGGACUAUGUGUAGAACAAGAGGACUAGCCGAUUUUGAGUGAUAGUGUACUUCUCUCAUGGUUAUUCCAAGACUUGUGGUGUUGUGUGAAACAUUUGAGGCAUCACACUUGAGGUGCUAGGCUCACAAGGUUCUCAAGGAAUCCAAGCAACAAGAAAUGUAUGUUCUCCUACUAGCUUUUAUGUUUCAAAGUUCCCCAUGCCAUGCUAGUUAGGUUAAGAACCUUGGAAAAACAAUUUUGCAUGUAUCUUAGUAAAACAUAGAUCCAAGGUUUCUAGGGUUGCAUGUACACCUUAGGAGUGUUAGAAUGCUCAAAACCCUUCUGUGGUAUCAGAGUCUAGGCUUGUUUUCUUGAUACUUGAUGCAAAUUGUUGAAAACACUCAAGAUUUCUGCAUUCUGCUGAGUGAACUUGCCGAGUCCAUGGGGGGACUCGACGAGUCCAUGUGUUAUUUCAUCCUACUCGUCGAGUAGGUUCUUGCACUCGACGAGUAGGAGGCCCUGAAUGCAUAUUUUCGAGUUUUGCUGCUGGAAAUGGACUAAAAACAUUACCCUAAAUUGUUUUGGUCUUAUAAAACUUGUUUUAGAUGGUGUAAUGGUUAUGCUAAUCCAUUUACAAUGGCUAUUAUCAAAAUUUCAAGUUUUACAUGUGCUUUUAUGAUUCUUCAAAUUGUUGAUAUGAAUGUUCAUGAACUUAUGAGUUUAGUAGAUCACAUGAAUUAUUUUGUUAGUUUAAUUCUUGAUCUUGAUGUGUUUUAAUGGAAUCCAUAAUUUGUCCUCAAGUUAUGGAUUACCAAAAGUUUUUUUUAAAGUCCAUUAAUGAACACAUAGGUUAUAUAAAAUGAAGAGUCUCUCAUUUUAAUAAACCAUUAACUCAUAAGUUAUGAAACAUGAAAACUUUUGAAAGAUACAAAACUUGCCCUCAAGUUUUGGAACAUAUAAAGUCACCUUAAAAACUUUAGUUCCAACCCCUAUAAUUUUAAAAGUUAAAAUUCAACCCUUAUACCUUAUAAUAUUAUAAGUUAAUUUUAUAUAAACCCUAAUUUUGAUCUAUUCAUUAAUUUAUUAUGAUGCUGAAUCAAAUAGAAACUAUCGCUCUGAUACCACUAAUAGGUUUUAUAGGCUAUAAGACAAAGCAUAAGGCGAAAUAAUUUAACCCUUAAGUUCGCAUACAACCUAUUUGGAUCUAAGUUUUCUCUAUUCAUAACAAUAAUCUAUGAACAUCAAGAACCCUAAGGAGGCCAUACUAUAAUCAAAAUUAUCAAGGGAUUAGGGUUUACAUACUUUUGAUUUUUUUUAGUCCUAAGAUUUUUUUCUUGAACAAAAAAUUCUUUAAAACCGGAAAAAAUUUGUAGUUUGACCAUUUUUGGCCGGUUGAAACCGGUACCAAAUUAAUUUGGGACUAUUUCGUAAACUAACCCAAAAUAUUUACACUUUUCUAUAACCCAAAAAUAUUAUGACUUUUCUGUAAACAAAAAUAUUAAAACUUUUCUACAAACAAAACCCUUAUUAUUAUUAUUAUUAUUAUUAUUAUUAUUAUUAUUAUUUAAAAUAUAAAUAAGAAUACUAUUUUUUGAACUUGUAUUAUUAAUAUUUGACAAAAUUGCAAAAAUGGUCCAUGUGGUAUGCAUUUUUUUGGGGUUUUAGUCCAAACCCCGACUUUUUUGGCUUUGUGGUCCUUUUGAGCUAGUUUUAUUGUGUUUUUAGUCCCUCUGAAUAGUGAAAUGACUGUAAUACCCUUGGAGUAUUUAUUUUUCAUUUUUCUUUCAUUUCUUCUUAAAUCAAAUACUAAUUUAUUUAUAUUAAUAAUUAAAAAAAUAAGAAGGGUCUCUCUCUCUCUCUCUCUCUCUCUCUCUCUCUCUGCACCUACACCUGAAAAAACCCAUCUAAGAAAUUAGAGCUUCAUUUCUUCAAUUAAAUCGUCUGUUUACAACAGCACAAAAAGAGUUCCCAAAGAGCUUCUUGCAAUUCCUCAUUUAUUGUCUUUAUAGCUGAACAAAAAAGAUUUUUCCUGGUGUUUCAAUUCUUCAAGUUGUUCGUUCUUCUGUAUCAAUUUGGUUGUAAAUGCUUCAUCUGUUCUUGAAGCUCAAUAAGGUCCAUUUAUGACAUUCUUACAAAUUAAACAUGGUCCUGUGUUUUUGGAAUUAAUCGCUGUUACACCCUCCAGUAACCUCCUAGAAGUGCAACUUUCCUUCAUAAAUUAUUUGUAGAAUGAUAAGCUUUCGUUAUCCUUUCGUUUACAGGAAACAAGUCCCUAGGAUUCCAUUUUCGGAAUUAGAACAGCUACAAGUCUCCAGGAUUUUCUCUUCUUAUAAUUGAUUUGGGGGUUUGGGAAUUUAUGAAUUUGGUAUUCCUGGAAUGAUUUUGUUGAAGGCAAAGAUAAGGAUGGAAUUGGUGAUUAUCUUUCUGAUAGAGCAUUCCUAGCUGUGUUUAGAUCCAAUUUUCUCUUUAAAACUGGGAUUUUGUUAGAGAGAUUGUUGUUGGCGAGGUCUAAUUUUUUAAGAUCAGGAAGAGCGGUGAUGAGCUCUUCAGGAAACGUUCUAAUGAGACUGUUGUUAGCUUUGAUGAAUGGCGACAGUCCAGCUUUGGUGGGUGUCUGAUUAUGGUGGACGACGACGAUCCAUAAGUGAAGUUUGCAGAUUAAGGUUUGUUUUGGAGAGCUUGUCAGACAUGAAUUUGGAGAUUGGGGAAGUUUGAAAGAGUUAAGAUUGAGGAUGAAUGAGUUCAUCUGAAGCCUCCAAAUGAUCCUAAUAGAUCUGUGUGUGAAGAGAGAGAGAGAGAGAGAAUGGGGUGUGGGCCCCAUUUUAUUAUCAAUAAAACAUUAACAUAAAUAGAAAAAAUAUAUGAAGAGGGCGAUUUAGUCAUUUCAAUUUUCGGAGGGACCAUUUUCACAUACAAACUAGUCCAAAAUGACCACUAAUCCAAAAAAUUCGGGGUUUGGACUAAAACCCUAAAAAAUGCAUACCACAGGGACCAUUUUUACAAUUUUGUCUUAAUAUUUUAAUAAAACAUAUAAAUGCAUUUAAAUGAAAAAAUAAUGACAUUGUUUAAGGGUGGAGGUGGAGGACAUGGUGAUGCUUUUAGCAUUGAAAUCAUAUGAAUUUAUGCAUUUAUAUUUUUACUUGUAUAUACUUAUUUCACAUUUGUUAUUAUUGUUUUUCAAUUCAUAAUAUUAGUACUUAACAAUUUAACAGAAAUUGCAUAUUUGUAAAAUUGUUAACAAAUAAUUUAAGGUAGAAGGAUUUCUCAGUUUGUGUAUAAAAUUAUUUAAGGUAGAAUAAUUACUUUCCAAAUCCAACAUAUCUACUACAAACAUCUACGUAGAUAGUAGCCCAUAUCAAAAUUCAAAAGUAUUAAUUACAAUAUCUUGGUUGAUCAAAAGUAAUAGGAAUAAUUCAAAAGUAUUAAUCAAAAUUCAAAAGAAUUAAUCCAAAAAACAUGUCCUAUACUUUUUAUUAAACAAGAUAUUGUAAUUAAUACUUUUGAAUUUUGAUAUAGACUACCUAUCUAUAUAGAUGUUUGUAGUGGAUCUGUUGGAUUUGGAAAAUAAUCAUUCUACCUUAAACAAUUUUAUAUACAAACAGAGAAAUCAUUUUACCUUAAAUUAUUUAUAAACGAUUUUACAAUUAUGCAAUUUCUUUUAAAUAUGUAAGUAUUAAUAUUCUGAAUUGUAAACAAUAAUAAAAAAAUAUGAAAUGAUCAUAUACAAAGUAAAAACAUACAAACAGAAAUUCAUAUGAUUUCAAUGUUAAAAAUAUCACCAUCUCUUCCACCUCCACCUUUAAACAAUGUCAUUAUUUUUUCAUUUAAAUGCAUUUAUAUGUUUUAUUAAACUAUUAAUAAUACAAGUUCAAUAAAUAGUAUUCUUAUAAUAAUAAUAAUAAUAAUAAGAGUUUAAUUUGUUUACAAAAAAGUCAUAAUAUUUUUGUUUAUAGAAAAGUCAUAAUAUUUUUGUUUAUAGAAAAGUCAUAAUAUUUUUGGGUUACAAAAAAGUCUCAAUAUUUUGGGGUUAGUUUACGAAAUAGUCACAAAUUAAUUUGGUUUCGGUUUCAACAGGUAAAAAAGGAUCAAAUUGUAAAUUUUUGUCCGUUUUCAGGAUUUUUUCGUUUAAUAAACAAAUCUUUGGAUUAAAGUGUAACUUUUCCGUAAAUAUUAGAAUUUUUCAAAUCAUUUCCCAUAGAAAAUCUACUAUAAUAAAUGAAGGUUUUUUGUCACAUGUCCUCUUCUCAUUCAUUUGGAUACAUGGCAUUUUCUAGAAUUUUUAAAAUUUUUAUUUUCCAAUUGUCAUUUUAUUGUAUUUUUUAUUUUAUUAAAUUAAAAUUCCACAUUUAAUGUCUAAGGUAAUAUAUAUGUAAAGUAUUUAUUAGAAAAAGUUUAUAUAUGUAAUGUAUUGAAUACAUUAAAGUCUCAUUAAUUUUAAUAAUUCAAAUUUUUCUAAUUUUUCUUAUAAAUGUAAACUUUUCAAAUUAUUAAAAUUUUAUAUUUUUUUUUAAUUAAACCUAUGUAAUACAUGGGUCUUACAGCUAGUCUACAUUAAAAAAAAAAGUUUGGAGCGGUUAAGAGGAAUCACGGGUUCCUCAAAUCGUGUAGAAUGCCAAAUCCCCAACCACGGAACAAAGCUCCCAACGGUAGGGAUUUGAACACAAAGAUAAAAUAUAAACCGAGACAAAUUCAAAAUAAUAUGUAUUCAUUCUAUUGUUAAUAUAAAAAUUAGAUACAUCAAAUAUUCAAAAAAAAAAAUUGAGACAAAAUGAUUGGAACUUCCUUUUCGUGACGGAUUCAAUUUUAGUUACCUCAUCUCGUCAAUGAAGUAGAAACCAUUAUGUCAGUUAUUUUCAACCAAUCAAAUUGUACUACGUUAUAAAUAUUUACCUACCUCUAUAUAUAAUUCUUCACUGGUCACGUGAUCAAUUAUUGGUUCUACCUCUUGUCUUUCUUCUCGACAAAUAUUGGACGACGUUGGGUAAAGGUGUUCGUAUCAUUAAGUCAUCAAAUUCUAGGCCUAGCUAAUUUACGUCCACAGAUUGAUAUAUAUACUUUGACCUAUAGAGUAUUAGAGUUAUAAAAUUUGGUAUCAUUCAGUCCGAGGAAAACUGUGUCAAUACUAUGAGGGAGUCCGAAAGUGCUUAAGAUUCUAUCAUUCUCUAUUCUAUGGAUUUAAUAGAGGUAAAGGGUGUGUUUGUUUUAAAACCAACUUUUCAGAAAGGAAAAGGGACAAAAUCUUUUUGGAACCAACUUUUGAGAAAGAAAAAAAAAAAAGGAGCAUUUGGAAAAGUCAUUGACUUUUUGGAACUUUUGAAGCCCUUGACACUUAAAUUACUCAUAUACCCCCAACUACCACUACUCUAAUCAAUAAACUCUUAGAACUUUUAUUAUUUUACAUGUAAAAGUUAAACAAAACAUCUUUUAAAAACAACUUUUGACUUUUGUUUCUCAAAAGCUGAUCGAAACACAUUUUUAAAAACAUCUUUUGUAAAAAGUAUUUUUACAAAAAGUGCUUUUGCAAAAAGGACUUUUAAAGGUAAAAAGAUAUCUCAAACACCCCCAAUUCUAUCAAAAAAUAUUUAAUUGUUAAAUUUAUUAUCAUAAGUUUGUAAUCAGUUUAAUUUUAACCUGAAUAAUUAAAAUUGUUUAAUAUAUAUAUUAUACAUAUAUUAAAUGAAAGAAUAAUCCAAUAGACGAUAACUCAAAUGUUGAAGUAUUCAUGUGUGGAUGGCUCAUAUUGUCUUUAUAGUUUACAUUGUAGAAAGUUUAAUUUAUUAUAGUUGGUAGAACCACGUUGAAAAAAAUGAUUCUUUUAUUAAACUGCUGUAACUAUUAUAAAUUUAAUUAGAAAAUGUAGAUAUUUCAUCUAUAUAAAGGAUCAGAGGGUGUCUCAAAUUCAUAACUCAGAUCCCACUUCUGUUAGUAGAAAUGGGAACAAAAAGGAAGAUGUCUUCAAUGGUCACCCUUUUAAUCUCGCUUGCGGUAGUUAUUGUUUCUUUAAGCUUGCCUUCAUCGGCCACGGCAGCCUACCCUUACUCAUCUCCACCACCUCCUCCACCAAAAAAAUCACCACCACCACCACCACCUAAGCAUCAUUAUGUUUACAAGUCACCACCACCACCGGUGUAUAAGUCACCACCACCACCCAUGCAUAAGUCACCACCACCACCCGUAUAUAAGUCACCACCACCUCCUACUCCUGUUUAUAAGUCUCCACCACCUCCAAAGAAACCAUAUGUAUACAAGUCACCUCCACCACCCGUGCCCGUUCACAAGUCUCCACCACCGCCAGUAUAUAAGUCCCCACCACCACCGAUGCACAAAUCACCACCACCACCUGUUUACAAGUCACCACCACCACCGGUUCACAAAUCACCACCACCGCCUGUUUACAAGUCACCACCUCCACCUCAUUAUGUUUACAAGUCACCACCACCACCAGUUCACAAGUCAUCACCUCCACCUACACCCAUUUACAAGUCACCACCACCACCUCCGGUUCACAAGUCUCCACCACCACCAAAGAAACAUUACAUAUAUAAGUCACCACCGCCACCUCCACCAGUUUACAAGUCUCCUCCUCCUCCACCACCAAAGAAACCAUAUGUAUACAAGUCACCACCACCACCAACUCCGGUCUAUAAAUCUCCACCACCACCAACACCGGUUUACAAAUCUCCACCACCACCACCACCUGUGUACAAAUCCCCACCACCACCACCACCGGUUUACAAGUCUCCGCCACCUCCUCCACCCCCAGUGAAAAAGUACCCACCCC
rnacentral:lncRNA from 1 species